GCAGCACUGCUCACAUCUACCUUGUAGGUUGUUUUCUAUGCCAGUUUUUUUGUGACAUAAUAACUCUAGGCCCAACUGUUUUCUUCCGUUGUUGACCAGCUCGCCAGUGAGAGACCGAGCCUAGGACAUUGAUUCACCCAUUUCACUACCAUCCGUCACUGCGACGUCUGGUGAGACUCCUCUCUAAGUUGUUUCACUUUCCUUUAUGCUUCCCUCCGCUUUGUGAAGUUUGUGCAUUGAUUGUUGCAAUGUCGGCGUCUCCACGAGGUCUCCAUCGGUUCUAUUUCCUGACGGUUGAUGGUAUCAUCGCACCAAGGUUUACCCUGGUGACUGUUAUGAUUGAUUAUUUGGAGGUCUUUUCGACCUAGGCUCCCCCACCAUCCGGUCCUCAUUGGCGCUAAUAGUGAUUUCGACGUCUUUUUCAUCUUGGGCUUCACAUUCACUCGGCCUCCACUGGCGGUGAGUUUGUUGUCUUCGAUUAGUGCGGCAUCCUCCCGGCAGUUUCCAGUGUUCCCUCCCGAUUUCAUCUGUGUAUGAUGGCGGUGCUGUUAGUAACAAAGGUUUGUGUUGUGUUAUGUAUUUUGGGCCCAACCUUUGGGCCUGAUCUGUUGUAUUCUCUGGGUUUUUGGCCUGUGAUACUUGUGCUGGCAUUUUUUAAUGAAUGAAUAUAUUCAUUUGGACAACGAAAGACCUUAUACUACU
rnacentral:lncRNA from 1 species